UCCCUUGAAUUGCACUGCGCACUCCUUCUGCGCAAAGUGGCGCACGCGCUGUUUGUUCGAAUUUCCGGUGCACGAAGGCGCGGUAUACAUGGGUGCUUCAAUUGAAAGCAUCGGCUCAUUUGCCAAUCAACCGCCGUUGAGUGAGGAUCAAAUCAAGAUGGCGGCCCGAGUCAAUUACAAAAUACAGAGGGGAGAGGUUUCAAAGCGCUUCCUUAGGUAUAAAAAUGCCAACUCUACCUUCUAGUCCGAUAGAAUGUGUAAAAAAGGAAACUCAGUAGAUAUAAAGCUACGAAACCAACGUGACUUCCGCAAAAAAGGAACAAACGCAUGAUCGGAAAACGAUUUCAAACCUCGAAAAAACUAUACCUAAGAAGCAAGUCAUGGUGACAUCUGAAUAAUCAACAAGAUAUACUCUUCAAGAAAAAGCAGAUACAUUAGACAUAUACAGUAUUACAUUUACAUUUUAUAAGUGAAACAUGUUUUGUUGCUAUCAAAUUGAUUUAUGUGUUACUGAAGUCGUAUUUUAUAAACUGCAAUUGAUAGAUUAUGCUUUUGAAUAAACCAAAGUGCUUUCUCUUUUA